CUGAUAAGCAUGUGUUCAGUGCUGUGUCUGCACAGGUUCUCAUGAACGCGCAGCAUCUCCUACAAGCUGCUGUCACUCAAAAGGGGAGGAUAAACCAGACAAGAUUGUCAGGAUCACCUCUCAGCACAGAGCUUAGCCCCUUCCACAGUUUAUUACACUGAAUUGUGAGCUUAUGGUGCAUUUUUGAUUGCAGGAGUACAUUGCAAAAUGUACUCCUGUAUCAUAAAGAAAC